AAAAGAAAAGAAAAAAGAUUGCAUUUUACCUUAAUUAAUCACUGAUUUAAUGCACCAUCUAGCAAGCAUGCUAACUGACCCAAAUCAAACACACCUGUGCCUGACCAACAGGUGCAUGCUGGGUUGUGGCUAACAUGCUUUGCUAACAUGCUCAUGGAUCUGGAUCCUCCAGUAGUGACUCCUGCUUACACUUUUACCUUCAGGAGCGUGAGGACGUUCUGCUGUUUGUGAAAGCUUUAAGGAGCGCACUGGGACAGAGAGGCUGAGUGGACUGGUUAUACUGGGACAGAGAGAGGCUGGGUGGACUGGUUAUACUGGGACAGAGAGAGGCUGAGUGGACUGGAUAUUAACGUUAUGCAGAUUGUGGAGGACUUUGUGGCUCAAGACUUCUAGACAGAAAGAUGACAGGAAAUGGCAUCAACAAAGACAGACAAGUACAGUGCGCUUUACGGUUCAUGGUCAGUGUUUUAACUAGCCAACGAGGCUGGUGCAAGUGUUCAGUGGUGGAGCUGGAUCUGUUACAAACCUGGUACACACACACGCACGCACACGCGCGCACACACAAUUGCAGGUGCACCAUAUUCAGUUUGAAUACUGUAGUUGCAGUGUAAAUCUAUUUGACUCAGUCUUCCUUAAACACACACAGCUUAAAAACAUGCAUUCUUUCCCGUGGGCCACUGCCUGUUUCUUUGAUUUGCCUCUCGCUGCCAAUUGGCUCUGGUCUUAUCACUCUGCCUCUUUCUCCUUUUACUGACGACUGUCUCUUAUUUUCUGUUUCUCAGCCUGUUUUGUGUCGGUUUCUUUUUUUAAAUCUCACUCUUCUUACUCUAUCCAAUUUCCGCUCCCUCCGUUCAGUUCCUUCUCUCCCUAACUUUUUGUUCACGGCUAUUUUCAAAUCAAAACCAUUCCUGCUCUCUCAUUGGUUUGGAGUUUAAGUUUAAGAAUGCAUUGGUAUUUUUUGGAUGUUCCGGUGUUUUAAAAAAUGUUUUUAUUCAGGACAUGAUCAUGGUUUAUAAUAGUUAUUUUAUUGUUGCAUUUGAUGAAUGAGUUCACUGUAAUUUUUUCCGUGCAAGUGUUUUUUUCUUCUGAUUUGAAUCUGUCCUGGCUUUUGAAAAAGUCAGAUAUGAACAUUUUUAAUCAAAUGCAAAUUGUAUUAUUAUUAUUGUUGUUGUAAUUACUGGCUACCCUUAACUGGUCCCAUGUUUUGCUUUGUAUGGCCUGGAUUUGUAUGGAAUAUUCAACAAGGAUCUUCCAUAGUUGUGUCUAACAGCUCUGUGCUGCUUGGCGUAUAUGUUCAUUGAGUCAUACCACCAUUUGACUAACUUGUAACAGUUUUUUUACACACCCAGAGUCAUUGAGCACACCUGGCGCACCACUUAAAAUAUCACUCCACCAUUUCUCUGUCAACAUUACGGAGUUGAAUUAAAAAACGGUUUAAAAACA